rnacentral:lncRNA from 1 species
CAAGUGAAAAACCUCACAUUGACUCGAUCAUAAUCAAUGUUGCGGAUGAAAUUCAUCCCGAACCGAAGCCACUGGAGCGUGAUGAAGCCCGGCGAGUCGACAGCGGUCGAAUCUAUGAAAUUUAUCUCGGGCCGAAGGCACUGGAGCAUGACGAAGUCCAACGAGUCGAUGGCGGCCGGAUCUGCAAGAAAAAUUCCCAUCGGAGAUGGCUCUGAUGGAGACCCUUCGAUGCUCAAGUCAAAUUUGUCGCAACAGGAGGAGAAGAGCGAGUAUUUUUUUUUGAG